rnacentral:lncRNA from 1 species
AAAAAACGGACUGAACAAAAAAACGAGCUGAAACGAAAAAAAAAGAAAAAGAAAAGAACGCGGGUCACAGGUGAAAACCCCAUUUGAAAUCAGUUUCAACCAUCCCUCUCUCAAAGCAACCCUGUCCCCCUCUCUCUCAAAGCGAUCCUGAAGCAAAUCGGAAGGCAAAAGGCGAUCGAAUAGAAGCUGUUGCAAAUCGGAAGAUAACGAUUCCUACAAAGAGAAUCAGAAGGUAAUGCCUGUAAGCCUUUCAUGGCGCUCUAUCUUUUUCAGACAAUCGUUACGGAAGUAACGAAGUUGUGUUCGAUUUGUCGAUUUCAGAGCUCCUCUCCCUUCAAAUCUAGGGCGAAAGUAGCGAAGCUCCAAAUUCGGUGCAAGCCCCUCUUAUUUCUCUCUCAUUUUCAGACAAAGUAAACCCCUUUCCCUCAUCCGAUUCGGUCAAAAGGAAUGUGUUCGAUUUCUUCCCCUGCCACUGACCCGAAUCAGUUCAAGCAAUCCUAGAUAUUCGCGGUACUUCCUUUCCUCCGGUAAUCUUUUCUUAUUUGUUAGUCUUGUCUAUAGAAACCGUAAUUUUAUAAGUUGUGUUGUAAAAAUCAUGAAUUUGAAUUGUUUGAGACACGUAAAGACUUCCGAUUUCUUCAAUUCACCACAUGACCUAGUAAGUUUUGUCUGAAUUUAUGGGUAUCUUGCCAAAAAUGUAAUCUAUGGAGUUAUGUUCUUCGAACUGCACUAGUUGUGUUCUGCGAAUUGGGUUUGACAAAAUAACCUUCAGUUAAGCUAUGGAGUUAUGGAUUUCUGAUUAUUGGAUGAAACGGCUUUCGUGUUUUAGUAAUUUGGGUCUCUUUUUUCAUUUGGUUUUCAGGGAUUAUUCCCCCCUUCCUUUUGAGCAUGUUUGUUUUGUGUGGUUUAAUAGUGAAAUAUUUAGGAGUAAAAUGGAGAAGAGCAUAACGCUGAUAAAUCGAUUUAGGAGCAUAGCGCUGAUUAUUCCCCCCCUUCCAUUCAUGAUAUGCAUUUGUGGUGCCUGUGGCAUCCUACUUACAGUAGCAGAUUGGUGGUUUUGACAGGUCUGUUUAUGCACCAAUCUUUUUUGGCUUGUACAGCAGGACCAAGUUCGCUAUUUCAUCGAAGAGGUACACUUUUAAUAGUACUAUACUAGCCUCAUCUCUAAGUGAAAUUCAGUUAUAGUUGAUGAUGUAUGCAACCAUUAUAGAGAUACUGCAUAUUCUUUUUGGAAAAGUGUUCCACUUUCUCUUUGUUGGUGAUGAAGAUCAAAUUCAUGUGCCAUCUUCUUUGUCUUUGAGUUUUAAGAUGGCUACAGAAACUAGGAAGUUUAUCACCAAGUUGUCUGAGCAGUUUUAAAUAUUUGUUUGAGAUUACUAUUGCUUUUAGAAGUAUAACAUUUGUGCUUUAGUGUUUCAAGUGCAGAUCUUGACAUUCUUUACUGGAACAAAUUUCUUAUGUAAAAACACUGCAAUAUCUUUGUUUGCAUUGCAGCUGUACAGGUAGCUUAAAAGAAUACAGAGAGAUGGAGUAUGAAAGAAACUAAAACAUUUGUGCGCGUGUAGUAUUUUGGGACGACUGGGUUAUCUCUUUGUUGUUGCUGCUCCUGUUGGAAUGGCUGGGUUAAUUUUUGGUGUCCUAGUUACACUAUGUUAACAAUUGCUACCUCCUAUUCUCUAUUAUUGUGGAAUUUGUAUAAACAAUUGCUACCUCUUAUUCUCAAAUACAUUUUCCCUAGCAAUUAACAUGAUCUUUGGUAUUGUAUUGUGGGCAUGCCAGUUGAGCGGUUCCAUUACUCUUGGGUGUAUGUUUGGGUUCUUUUAUAUUAUUCUUGUGGUGGUAAAAAGACAACAGUGCCAUCAACGCAAUUGGUUAUAUGACACAACCACCCAUAUACAUUUUCCAUCUUAAAAGUGUUUUGAUGUUUUACUUCACAGAAGUUGGUACGUUUUAGUAAUAUUUUUAUUAAAUAUUAAUGGCUGCAAAGGAAGGUGAGGAUUUGGCUAAUAAGCUUACUGGGAUAAUUUACUACCAUUUGUGUGCACUGCUAAACCCCUGAAGACAAAGCUCUUGCGCCUCCCCUCCUAUGGAGUUUUGAACCCAUGACCUGUACAUUCUUUGCUACGAAAUUCCUUGACAAUCUUUG